rnacentral:rRNA from 1 species
CCUACGGGGGGCAGCAGUGGGGAAUAUUGGACAAUGGGGGCAACCCUGAUCCAGCCAUGCCGCGUGUGUGAAGAAGGCCCUCGGGUUGUAAAGCACUUUCAGUGAGGAAGAACGCCUGGUGGUUAAUACCCAUCAGGAAAGACAUCACUCACAGAAGAAGCACCGGCUAACUCCGUGCCAGCAGCCGCGGUAAUACGGAGGGUGCGAGCGUUAAUCGGAUUUACUGGGCGUAAAGCGCGCGUAGGUGGCUUGAUAAGCCGGUUGUGAAAGCCCCGGGCUCAACCUGGGAACGGCAUCCGGAACUGUCAAGCUAGAGUGCAGGAGAGGAAGGUAGAAUUCCCGGUGUAGCGGUGAAAUGCGUAGAGAUCGGGAGGAAUACCAGUGGCGAAGGCGGCCUUCUGGACUGACACUGACACUGAGGUGCGAAAGCGUGGGUAGCAAACAGGAUUAGAUACCCGUGUAGUC